UAGCUGCAUUAUUUGACGUUUAGCGACAGAAGAAGCACCGGCUAACUCCGUGCCAGCAGCCGCGGUAAGUACGGAGGGUGCGAGCGUUAAUCGGAAUUACGUGGGACGUAAAGCGCAUGCAGGUGGUUUGUUAAGUCAGAUGUGAAAGGACCCGGGGCGUCAACCUACGGAAUAGCAUUUAGUAAACUGGCAGACUAGAGUACUGUAGAGGGGGGUAGGAAUUUCAGGUGUAGCGGUGAAAUGCGUAGAGAUCUGAAGGAAUACCGGUGGCGAAGGCGGCCCCCUGGACAGAUACUGACACUCAGAUGCGAAAGCGUGGGGAGCAAACAGGAUUAGAUACCCUGGUAG
rnacentral:rRNA from 1 species